CCAUGCCUGGCCGCAUGUGUCAUUUUCUUGGGUGUUAUACUGAUCGUAUAUUUGCAGGUUUGCUUUUGUGACAGACUUCUUCUGGGGGAAAAAAAGUAUCCUUCUAUCUUUUUACUUUUGUCCAGUUCCAGGUAUCCCUGUUUUUUUCUUCACUCUUCCUUCCUUGUUCAUGGGAGUUUUUCUUGAGGACUUCAAGCCCAGCUUCGGAGAAUCCUGGUUGUGUCAUCUCAUCUCCUUUCUGCUCUCUUCUCUACCUAGGCUUUCCACCCUCACACCUCCCGGGGUCUGAAAAUGGAAAGAUAAGGGUGUUUCCCUGAAAGUUGCUCUUCUGUGUGGGGAUGACAGGUUCUAAAGACUCUUUUCUGGUCCCUGCCCUCAUUGCCAUGAUUAAUCAGUUAAGUGGCCCGAGGUUUUGUAACAGCACAGUCUUAAAAUGCUUCUCCCAAGUUUAAUUUCUCUCCAUUUGACCUUUUAAGGAUGUGAAUUGGCUUUAAGCAGUAGACUCCCUUUAGUACGGCACUGUGAGCCUCUCAGUGAAUCUGCUACAUCCAUUCCACCCACGGGUCUGGAAACUUGUCUGUUUACCUUUCCCUAAAAACCUAAGAUAUAUUUUUAAGAAGUGCCUUGUAACUUUUCAUAUAGCCUUUCCCCUACUUUGGGUAGACUGUUUCUUACAGGAAUUUGGUAGAUCUUUCCAAAGAGAAUUCUGUAUCUCUAUUUUUAAAGCAUAAAUCCUGUCAACUUUGGAGGAGAACUGAUUUGGCUUGAGUCUUCUCAGACAUGGGAACUUUUGACCUAAGUUUGUAUUUUACAUUGUUGAAAGGGAACUCCGGGAUCCCAGAAAACAUAUGGACUGCAAUUGGGUAAAGUUUCUGUUUCAGUACUUAUUCCUACUUACUAGCCGUUUAAUCUUGGUCAAGUCAGCCAUGUGGCUCUCAACUUCCUCAUCUGUAACAUAAAAGGAUUAGAGUAGACAAUCUCUAACAAGUGCUAUAAUACCACUGACAAAUAAUAAUAUUAGCUAAUAUGUGUAAGGCACUGUGUUUAGUGCUUUUUCCCUUAAUACAAUAGCUUUGAGAUAUAAUUUAUAUACCAUACAAUUUACUUCUUAAAAAAGUACACAAUUCAGUAAUUUUAGUAGAUAGGAGUAACCAUCACCACAGUCAAUUCUAGAAUAUUUUUAUACAUCAGAAGAAACCCUUUACCCAUUAUCAAUUACUCUCCAUUCCUCCUAACUCCCUCCCAGCCCUAGGCAACUACUAGUCUACUUUCUGUCUUUAUUUGCCUCUUCUGGACAUUUCAUACAAAUGGAAACAUGCAGCAUGUAGUAAUUUAUGACAGCUUCUUUCACUUAGCAUGAGGUUUUCAAAGUUCAUUGAUGUGGUAGCAUUUAUCAGUACUCUGUGCCUUUUUAUGGCUGAAUAAUAUUUUAUCAUAUGGAUUUACCACAUUUUAUCAUUUUAUUUAUCCAUCAUCAGUUGAUUGACAUUUGAGUUGCUUCUACUUUUUGAGUAUUAUCAAUAAUUCUGUUAUGAACAUUCUUGUAUAAUUUUUUGGUAGACAUUUAUCUUCAUAUUUCUUGGAUAUAUACCUAGGAGCAGAAUUGCUGCGUCAGAUGGUAAUGCUGUUUAACCUUUUCAGGAACUGUCAGACUGUUCUGAAGUGGGUACAUUAUUUUACAUUCCAACCAGCAGUGUAUGAGAAUUCCAGUUUCUCCACAUCCUCAUCAACAGUUGUUAUUGUCUGUCUUUUUUAUUAUAUUCGUCUGUAAUGUGAAGUGUUUAUCUCAUUGUGGUUUUGAUUUACAUUUCCCUGAUGGUUGAUGAUUUUCAACAUCUUUUCAUAUACUUAUUAGUCAUUAUGUAUCUUCUUUGGAGAAUGUCUGUUCAGAUCCUUUACCUACUUUAUAAUUGGUUUAUCUUUUUAAUAUUGAACUGUAAUAGUUUUUAAAAAAUAUAUCCUAAAUACAAGUCUCUUAUCAGAUAAUAUGAUUUGCAGAUAUUUUCUGUCAUUCUAUAUACUGUCUUUUCACAUUCUUGAUGAUAUACUUUUCAGCCCAAAUGUUUUUAACUUGAUGGAAUACAAUUUAUUUUUUCUUUUGUUGCUUGUGCUUUCAGUCAUAUUUGUGAAAACUUUGCUUAUCCCACAUUACAAAGAUUUACUAUUUCUAAGUGAUUUAUAAUUUUACCACCUACCUUUAGGUCUCCGAUCCAUUUUGAGUUAAUUUUUAUGUGCGAGGAGGGAGUCUAACUUGAUUCUUUUACAUGUGGAUAUUUAGUUGUCCCAGGACCAUUUGUUGAAUUAAGUGCCCAGAACAAGUACAUCUAUAUAUAGAGAAAGUAGAUUAGUGGUUGUCAGAGACUGCAAGAAGGGGGGAAUUGCAGAGUGACAGCCCAUAGGUGCAGGCAUGCUUUUUGGCAUUAUGAAAAUAUUUUGGAAUUAGGUAGUGCUGCUGGCUGCAAACUUUUGGAAUAUAGUAAAAAAUACUGAAAGGUAUGCUUAAAAAUCGUGAAUUUUGUGAUACAUGAAUUAUACUGUAGUAAUAAUAAUAAUAACAACAGUAAUAAAGCAAGGUGUCUUUCCACAUCUCCAUGUCCUGUAUUUUCAUUAAAAAACAAAAAACACAAACAAAAACAAAAGCAUUUCAGGGCUAGCCUAAGUGGCUCACUCCUGUAAUCCCAGCACUUUUGGAGGCCUAGGUGGGAGGAUUGCUUGGGGCCAGAAGUUCAAAACCAGCCCGAGCAACAUAGCAAGACCUUGUCUCUAUGAAAAACAAAAAAACUAGCCAGAAAUGGUGAUGUGUGCCUAGAGUUCCAACUAGUGGGAAAGCUGAGGCAGGAAGAUCACUUGACCCCAGGAGUUUGAGGUUGCAGUGAUCUAUAAUCACCACUGCACUCCAGCCUGGGUGACAGAACAAGACCCUGUCUC
rnacentral:lncRNA from 10 species